CAUGGCACUGAAGGCAUUUGGGAAGUGACUACAGUACUGUUGUGUAUAUUUUCUCAGCCUGUGAACCAAUUGAGAUUAAGCUAGCAAGCAGGAAAAAUGGCAAGCCUCAUCAAGUUUUUAGCCAACUUGGCCUAUUGGAAUAUGGGUGGAGGGAUUGACUACACAACAAGGCUCUUGAGCAAUGUUCAUGAAGGACUUCCUCUUCCAGAUGAUGUAACUGAUGUUCAGUUGGUUGCAGGGCAAUAUUUAUAUUAUCAUUAUGGUUGUGAUGGAUUUGAUGACAGGGGAUGGGGCUGUGGUUAUAGAACAUUGAUGACUCUUUGCUCAUGGGUUAGAGACCAAAAAAUGAGGUCUGUGACUGAGACAUCUGAUUUACAUCCUGUCCCUUCAAAUAGAUGUAUCCAAGAAACUUUAGUUAAAAUUGGAGACAAAGAAAGUUAUUUCAUAGGUUCAAGACAGUGGAUUGGAAGUGUUGAGGUUGGUUACAUUAUUGAUUCUCUGUAUGAUGUGUCAUGCAAAAUUAUCCAUGUCAACUCAGGAGCAGAGUUGAAAAAUCAUGUGAAAACAUUGUCAGACCACUUCAAAAAUUUUGGUGCUCCUGUGAUGAUGGGUGGAGAAACAGACGUUUCAUCCAAGGGAAUCAUGGGUGUUGCUGAAGGACUUACAGAAACUUAUCUUCUUGUGGUGGAUCCACACUUUUGGGGUGAAGGGAAAAAUAAUAGUCAACUGCAAGGUGCUGGUUGGAUCAAGUGGCAGACAUUAUCAGACUUCCAUAUGACUACAUUUUAUAAUCUUUGUUUGCCCCAAUUACCAGCAGUAUCUAUAAAAGGACACAUGGCCAACUGACAGUGAUACCCAGGUCAGUGGUUUCUCAAAUACACAGUAUGGCGCCAAUUUUGCCUUCCAACACAGCAAUGAUUGUGUUGUUGUGUUGAGUUGAAGACAAGCAACUAUUCAUACAGGUGCCUAGUGACCCAGUGGUUCGACAUAAUAAUCUCGGAAGUUGAUGGUUUGUUCCAUGAAGAACAUAGUAGCAGAUAAAGCACUCUUCAAUACCUUCAAACUUUUGAUCAACAUUUUUCUUCCAGAAGGCUAAAGACUGCAUGAGGGGUGUAUUACGAUGAGAGAGCAUUGUGUUCAACUGAAAAUAAAGGUUUUUAUACGACAA